GUCCCAGGGAGAAUUCUCAUAAUGACUAAAGAAGUAAUAUUCCAACCUAAAGGCUGAAAAGGAAAUGGAAAUAAACUGAGACUUAUUAUGAAAAAGACGAAAGGAGAAAUGGUGAAGGCCCUGAAGUGUAGUGGAAAGAAUGUUUUGGGAUAAGAUAGAUCGUAGUUUGAAUCCUUCCCCUCUCUAUGAUUUGCUGACUUGUGACCUUGAUUUGCUUAUUUCUCUGAGCAACAGUUAUUUCAGAUGUGAAAUGAGAAUUUUUCCUUAUAGGACUAUUUACUAAAAGAUUAAGUGAGAUAAUUUAUAUGAAAUAAUUGAUAACAGUAAGACUAGCUAAUAUAUUAGAUGCUUACUAUGUGCCAGGUCCUGCUAAGUCUUUUAUACGAAUUUUUCUUUUAAACUUAACAUGGCUGUGGGCAAAUAGUCACCAUAAAUUUUAGAUUCCCUAUAAAGGAGUGGCUUAAGUGAGAUGUUGGUGAUAAUAGUGUUAAGAAGAUACUGAGAAAUUGGCUGAAGUUGUGAACUUUUUGCUGGAGGUAUCUUGCCAAAAGUUAGCAAAUAUGUGAUACUGAAGGUGUGAAAGUUGCUGAUAAAUUAUGAAGAUGAUGCUAGAGUACAGAAGCAAAUGCACCAAAAAUAAGAAGACUAAUAAUAAUUGUGGUAGUACAGACCACUUCCACCCUCUUCCCCACCAAAUAAGCCAUAUGGAAGUAAUAAUAAUUCAGUGAGAUACUUAUUGAAGCAUUUGAUGAGUUCAGGAAAUUUUCCUGAUCCUCUCAGUUAACAGUGAUAAUAAUAACAAUAAAGUUAGUGAUGAUGAUCAUAUGAAUAGCUGACACAUGCGUGGUGCUUAUUAUAGGAAAAGCAUGGCUCUAAGCACUCUGCUAUAUUAAGAUUAUCUAAUUUCACAACUCUAUGAGAGAGUACUUUUAUUAUCUCACUUUUAUGUAUGAAAACACUGAGGCACAGAGAUCUCAUUUCAAUGGCUUGCUCAGGGUCACACAGCGAGAUCACGGCUCCCAUUCUAUAGCUGUGAGUCCUGCCAUGUGCAAAGUGACCUGUACAUAUGCUGAUCUUCCACACAACAGAGAGACUGAGUGGAGCUUCAUUUAGUAACUGAGGUCACAUAGCUAAGAGGUGGUCAAGAUGGAAUUCUAACUCAUAUUGACUGGAUUCCAAAGAUUUUUUCCCAUGAUUCUAUGCUAUUCUUUUGGUCAAUCCUGAAAAAAAAACCUAAACAACAACAAAAAUAAACAACUAGGGGAGAGUAAUGAGAGGAAAAUGGGGACACCUGUAAUUGAACAACAAUAUAAAAGACUACAAAAAGCUGCCCUCCAACCCCCCAAAACAAAAAUAAACAAACAAGUCUCCCAAAUGUCUGCUCCUUCCCUAUGGGUAAAGCUUUUAAAUUCUGGAGACAAAGGCAGAUAAACGUGAGACCAAAUUUUACAAAUAUGAGGCUAAGGAUGACUUUAAAUCUUACCCUUAACAUUUGUAGAUGAGCACUUGGGAGAAAAAUUCACACAAAGCUCAGAUAAAUAGUGUGAUUUCCACAAGCGCUAAGCUUGACCAAGAAAAAUUUUCUCUUUGAAGGCCAAAGGGUAUUUCAGUACUUAAGGAAUCUUAAUUUAUCAACAAAGCCUAAAGCUUCAAAUACAUUAUAGGAAAUAGCACAGGCUUAAAAAACAACCAAAGUACUUUUAAGAAAUAAGCAGUUUAGAAAGAGACAUAACUUGGGGUAGUGAACACAAUACAAUAUACAGAUGAUGUGUUAUAGAAUCAUACACCUAAAACUUAUAUACUUUAUUAACCAAUGUAACCCCAAUAAAUUCAAUUAAAAAAGAUAAAGGGUUCAGAACAUAAAUGAAAGACAAGGUUAAUGAUUGUAAGUGAAAUUAACUGGUGAAUUAGACAUGAUAUUGUGAAAACUAGAGGGACUUCAGACUGCCAAGAUGUGUAAAACAAAGUGGAUUGAAGAGCGGAGGGAGAGCAAGCCAAGUGCUAGAAUUAUUAUUCUCAUUAGAAAGGAGUUCAAAGUUUUCCUGGUUAAUAAUAGGAAUGAACAAUGGAAGUAAUGAAAACAAUGUUGUAUUAAAAUAUGUUAAUGUUAAAAAUGUUAGAAAAAUUGUGAGAGCGGGCCAAGUAGCCAGACUCAUUCCUAUUAAAAGGAGUUCAAAGUGAAUGGUAAUAGUGAAAACAGUUGUAGUUGUAUUAAAAUGUGUUGAUGUAAAAAAAUAGUCAGAAAAAUAUUAGAUUAAUAUAGCUGUUUUCUGAUUUCAUUUAAAUGUAAACAAAUGGUUUUAGAAAUUAUUGUUUUUUUUACUGAUUCUUGCUCUCCGUCUUUCUCACCUAGUCACAGGCACACUCUAUUCUCAUUCAAAUUCUUCACAGAAUUUGAGAAGGAAGAUGAACUUAUUUGAGUGAUGAGAAAGCCUCAAAAUCAGAAACUUUGGGAAAAGCUGAACAUGUAGUAACUUUUAUCUGAGUGUAUUUCGUGCACAAAGGUAGAUGGGAACUUUCUAAAGGAUUUUUUGUUUUUUUGUUUUCCUGAGCUCAAUUAUUGAUCCUACUCAGGAAGUGCAUGAGCUCAUAUAAGUUGGUGAAAAUUUAACCAAAUUGCUUUGCAUGCUUGUAAAGAAAGGCUUCCACCCCCAAAUUGUAAUUCUAACACUUUAAUUUAUUCCUAGCAUCUUAGAAUGUCUUGUUGAUAUUGUGGUUAUUGGAUGGAAUAUGUAGCUGCUCUCAUGAUUUUUGUGAGUGGUAGAACAAUGACCACUUGGGUUUUUCAAAGAAUGUUCAUGCAAUAAGACAAUAAUGGCUGACUUUCAGCAGACAGUGAUACAGUGAUGUCACCAAGACACCCUUCAACAUGAAUCCGUUCCAUUUCCCUCCCAUUUGUUUAAAUGGGACCUUAUAUGUUUCAAUGAUCAUUUUUGUUUUCUCUUAACUCACAAUAAGUGGUAAAGAGAGGAGGAGAAAAAUAUGGUCCACCACCAUUCUGGGUUUGUGAGCUGGGACUAGACCUCUUCAGGCCCACUUUGUAAUAGUGUGUUUCUCUAAGACCAGAGUGGUAAAACAGUGAAACUUUAUGUUUUUCUGUGUGUGGGUGAAUUAAUGAUUGAUCGUCUUUUUUUAUAGAACUGAAAAUAAUUUUCAAAAUUUGACAGAUUCACAAUGUGCCUACUGUAUGCGUAGCAAUGUGUGUGUUUGUUGACUUGCUUUACAAAGUGGUUUUGAGGAAAUAUACAAAAAGAAAAUAAAGUUCAAGGAGCUAAAAAUACAUGAGGAAACUAGAAGGGCAGUGUAUUUUUAGGUGGGCCCUAAGGUGAAUAUGUGUGAGGGCUAAAAAAUAUUAAUACUUUUUAUCCUACUUCCUAAAUUCUUCUGGCUAGGCUAAUAACCACAUUAAGAGAGAAAGACUAACAGAAGAAUAAGUUUAAUAGAGGUGCAUGGGGAAUUUACAUAGACAUGAUCAUUCCAUAAAAAUUCCCAAGACAGUGAAGCAACAUUGGGUACAUAAGACAUUUUGGACAAAAGAGAAGGGGCAGGGAGGUGCUUUAAAUUUCAGAAGUGAGAGUGGGCAAUUUAUAGGCAAUUGAAGAGCUGAACAUAUGUGGGAGGAAAAUCCUUGCUAGGCAAUUUGGAGACAAUGGGACCCAAAGGGUAUUUAGCUAACUGGCACCUACCUGCCUGAAGCCCUCUGGUUUACCCUACUCAAUUCAGAUUAGGUGAAGGCAGCAUCCUAACAUCUCCUUCCUGAAGCAUGUCUCUGUCUGAAUCUCUCAAGCAGGAUCAAAGGAGAAAGGGGCAAAGCUACUUUCACAGUCUUUUGUUUCUUAACAAACACUUAAAAUCAAAAGCAUCUUCUGGGUAGCAGAAUUAUGGUCCCUUCCCACGUUAGAAGGCCCUAUCUGCUUGGACUGGCAAUGUGUUGAGAGUUUCUGAGGUUAUUAACAAAGCGGGUAUAAAUUCUGCUCUCAGCCUUCAAGGAGUAUGUGUAAUUUACUCAAGAAGAGCUGAUCAUCACACGGGAAAGAACUUGAUAAUAGGUAAUCAUGAAAAGGCAAUGCUAAAUUCUAAUUGCGUGCUGUGGAUGUAAGUGUUAGGGAAAUGAGGGCUCAGGGUGAGUGAAAGUGUUUGAGGAGGUGUUGCCAGAAUAAAUGGGAAGUGAUUCCACCUUGUUUGUCUAUUUGUACCACUGCAGUUAGGAGGGAAAGACAGCAAAACCCUGUAUUCUAUUAAUUCGUGGUGAGGUAUGUGUUAAGGAAUUUGUGGCUCAGAUUAUUUUACAAAAGAGAGUCUAGAUUAUUUUUAAAAAGAGUUUUAAUAAGAGUUAAUAAGUAUUCAGGACUUGAGGAGUCACAAAGUGAAAAAGGAUUUUAUUUUCCUCCAGAUUAAAUAGGUUAGAUAUUUAAAUGGAAAUGCCCAGGUAAUUAUAGCAUGCAAUUUGGAUGAGGUUAGAGCUGUAGAUUAGGGAUAUCAGUUGGAAGGAAGUACUUACAGCUGAGAGAAAGAUAGAACCCGUCAAGGAGUGGUGGCUGAACUGUGGCAUGUUGGGGUGAAAACUUCAGUUAGUUAGAGACAGGGAGGGAGAGGGCCCAAGGAAUGAGCAGAGAGCAGCAAGGACUGAGAACAGAGAGGACAGUGAGAAGACAGCAGAGGAAGGAGCCCCUCAGGAGGCAGAGUCUGGGUAAGCCCGCACCUGAUGCUUGGUGCCCACGAGGUUAAGAACUAAGGAGAAUCAUUGUUCAGUCAGGAGAAAGCAAUGGAAGAAACUCUGAAGAAGGCAGUUUUAAUUUUUCUUAAAAAGUUGGGAUUUGGAAGUCAAAGGGCAGGAAAAAAUGCAAGAAAGAAGGGAGUAGGGUAUAGUACACUCAAUUAAGAAUUUAUAAUAAAAAGGAGGGAAAUAGUAUAGAAGCUUUCAGGCCUACUGAAAUGAGGCAUGUCUGAAUCACUCUUCUCACACAGUUCACCUGUGCAAGUACACAAAGUCCAUGGAAAGGUGAAAGUAAACAUUGUCUUUGGGAGACUCUUCAGAUAGCAACAUGUUGGGACGCAUCCCAGUCCUACUUUAAUCCCCAGCCUGAUGGAAAAUUUGGGUUUCUCUUUCUCUUUUUCCUGCACAGCACAGUUGCACUGCCAAUAUGCUAUAUAGCUCCUCAUCAACAGGCCUGAUAACCAAAGCAAUUUAUGUGCCAGCUCAAGUACAGAUGAUAGCGAGCAGAGUGACAAGUUGGAAUUAGCUGUGGAAAGUGCUAGUGACUUGCAUUUGUUAUGGGUUUCAGGUUGUUGGUUGUUGCAAGUGUGUGUGCAUGUGUGUGUAUGUUGGGGCAUUACCAUAGUAACAGUGGUUUUUUAGCAAACAUUGAAAAUGCCUACUGUUUUGUGUGCUGUUGGUACCUGUGUAAAUUAUCUAUGUUCUUUAUGACAGAAGUUUUUUAUCUUUCCUUAUAAAUAAUUUAUUUAUAGGAGGAAAGAUAAUUUUUGGACAUCUCUCAAACUCAUUUUCACUUCUGGAUUCAAGAGUUUAAAAGUAUAAAUAGUUUAUCUUUUUGACAUGUGAUUUAUUUAAAGAGUGUUAUUCUUUGGCUAAGCAAUUGUUCGAUUCCUUGUUUCCUUAAUAUGUUUGAUAUGUUUUAACUUUUUGCUUUAGUUUCUAAAUUCCUAUUCCUGAAUGUUCUAAAGUGGCACAUUAAUAUAGUUAAAAAAUCCUAUGUCUCACCCUCCCCCACAUUGUUUUCUCAUUCACAGCAUUAAUGUAUUCAACAAAUUCUUCUGUUGUGCCAGUUUACAAAAAUAAUUCUUGGUAUUAAAGAAAUCCAUUAAUCUGAAAAUGGGUUUCACAGGAUCACAAUUUUAAUUGAUAAAUUCCAUAUUUGGACUAUUUCUGUAUGGCACAAUAACUAUUUUGACAGAGGACCUAAUUCACUAUUUUCCAUAAUUUGUCAACUCAUUUGUCUCAAUUUUCAUGACUAGCCUUUUGUCACUAGCAUACUUCUCCUUUGCUCAAUAGCCCUUUAACACAAACUUUUACCUCUCUAGAGUCAGCAAGUUUUAGGGAGGCAUUGUAAGCAAAAUGCACAUAGCAAAUCCGUCAUCUUGUCAUGAAAUCUGGAUUCACGGAAUUGGAGUUAGCACGCCCAGUUGCCAAUUCCCUUUAUCUAAAAUCUCUCUUUACACAAAAUACCCUAGAACCAUAUUUUCCUCAGUGGAA